GAUGAAGAACGCAGCGAAAUGCGACAAGUAGUGUGAAUUGCAGAAUUCAGUGAAUCAUCGAAUCUUUGAACGCACAUUGCGCCUCCUGGUAUUCCGGGAGGCAUGCCUGUUCGAGCGUCAUUAAAAUCACUCAAGCUUAGGUUUACCUAUUGCUUGGUCUUGGAGAUGGAAGCCAAUUUAUUGGAAUCCUCUUCGAAAUUCAAUGGCGAAGACCCUUGCUCUCCCAAGUGUAGUAAUAACUUAUGUCACUGAAGGAAGCGAGAAAUCUUCUGCCGUAACCCCCAUAUUUUCUAUGAUUGACCUCGGAUCAGGUAGGGAUACCCGCUGAACUUAAGCAUAUCAAUAAGCGGAGGA
rnacentral:misc_RNA from 1 species